CAAAUCUAUUCUCGAGAAUAUUAACAUACUUUCAAGUAAAGUCUGAAUCUAUACUUAGGAGAUUUUUGUACGCAUUGUUGUAGAACCAGAUCAUCUAUGUGCGAUUGGAAACUUGUAUCCAAUGAAUUUCACCAAAAUGAAGGCAUAUAUGAAAACCUUAUUUCAAAUACUUCAGCCUGUUGAAAAUUAGACAAAGUCCUAUUUUAGUAGUCAAUGGAGGGCAUAUAGUCUGUUGAUAUGUAAGAUUGUUUCUAGAUGACUAUACAUGUUUCCUUUGACCAAUAUCAUACCAUUCCCUGUAGAUUAUUGUUAUUAAUCGUAGAAAAUAUGACAAAACUAUUGCUAACAUCUUUGAAAAUGCUGAAAUCUGCAAAAGCGGUGUUUUAUUGAUGUCGGCAAUUGUUUGAUCUAAAAAGAAAAAGAAAAAAGAAGUCAACCAAGAUAUUUUAAUGGCAAAUUAAGUCCAUAUGACACACAAAAAACACAAAAAUGUGUUACAUCUUAAGAUAUAUUUAGUUAAAAUUACAGUUCGAUAUAUAAGUUAUAUAUAAUCAGGGAAUAUCAUAAAUAAAAGCGAAAGAUACCAAAGGGACAUUCAAACUUAAAAGUAAAAAAUAAACUGACAACAGAUGCUGGUAUUUAUUUUGUUUUUCUAUUUUUAAAAUCAAUAAUAACUGAUAUUUUAAAGUAUUGUGGAUCAGUUUUUUUGGGUUUUUUUUUUUUACAAUCAACAUUAUAUAAUUAACAAGUCAUUUGUUGUAAUCAAUAUGGG
rnacentral:lncRNA from 1 species